GACCCAUAUGAUCACUGAAGUUAAGAAAUGUUGAACCUGGUUGGCACUGCGAUGGGUGACCACUUGGGAAUACGAGGUGCU